rnacentral:rRNA from 1 species
UACAGAGGUCUCAAGCGUUGUUCAGAUUCAUUGGGCGUAAAGGGCGCGUAGGCGGCGAGGUAAGUCGGGUGUGAAAUCUCAGAGCUCAACUCUGAAACUGCACUCGAUACUGCUUUGCUAGAGGACUGGAGAGGAGAUUGGAAUUCACGGUGUAGCAGUGAAAUGCGUAGAGAUCGUGAGGAAGACCAGUGGCGAAGGCGGAUCUCUGGACAGUUCCUGACGCUGAGGCGCGAAGGCCAGGGGAGCAAACGGG